GGUGGUUCUCAGGUGAUGCACCCUGGAAUCGGGCUCCCUCCUCUCUGGUUCCAGGUGCAUCACCCAAGAACCACA
rfam:Myotis brandtii contig222078, whole genome shotgun sequence.